rnacentral:tRNA from 1 species
UCUGGAAUAGCUCAGUUAGUUAGAUCGUGUGGUUGUUAACCACAAGGUCGGAGGUUCAAGCCCUCCUUCUAGCG